rnacentral:rRNA from 1 species
CCCGAUCCUCCCACCCUUUGUGUACCUACCUCUGUUGCUUUGGCGGGCCGCGGUCCUCCGCGGCCGCCCCCCUCCCCGGGGGGUGGCCAGCGCCCGCCAGAGGACCAUCAAACUCCAGUCAGUAAACGAUGCAGUCUGAAAAACAUUUAAUAAACUAAAACUUUCAACAACGGAUCUCUUGGUUCUGGCAUCGAUGAAGAACGCAGCGAAAUGCGAUAAGUAAUGUGAAUUGCAGAAUUCAGUGAAUCAUCGAAUCUUUGAACGCACAUUGCGCCCUUUGGUAUUCCGAAGGGCAUGCCUGUUCGAGCGUCAUUACAACCCUCAAGCUCUGCUUGGUAUUGGGCACCGUCCUUUGCGGGCGCGCCUCAAAGACCUCGGCGGUGGCGUCUUGCCUCAAGCGUAGUAGAACAUACAUCUCGCUUCGGAGCGCAGGGCGUCGCCCGCCGGACGAACCUUCUGAACUUUUCUCAAGGUUGACCUCGGAUCAGGUAGGGAUACCCGCUGAACUUAAGCAUAUCAAUAAGCGGAGGAA